GCGCCCUUUCGUCCGUGUUCCUGCCGCUUUGAUAAUGGCGGCUCGUGGUUUGGGGCUGUUGACCAGUUUGCCCCUCCGUGCUCAGAGAAGUCAAGUCCAGCGUCCUCUCCGCAGGCUUCUCAGUUGCCCAGGAACGGUGGUCGCACCCCUCGGGAAGGAAGAGCAGUCCUCGGGGAGCGCGGAGACAGGCUCUGAAGACAGGACUCCAAAAAAGAGAUUCUCUGAGGUGCAGAAAGAGAGACGAGAACAGGCCCAGCGGACUGUGUUAAUCCACUGCCCAAAUAAAAUCAGCGAGAAGAAGUUUCUCAAGUACUUAUCCCAACAUGGACCUGUUAACAGCCACUUCUUCUAUGAAAGCUUUGGUCUUUAUGCUGUUGUAGAAUUUAGUCAGAAGGAAAGCGUAGCUUCACUGCAGAAUGUAACUCGUACUCCAAGCCUGGGCACAGAGGCUGCAAUUCCAUUCAGAUCACGUUACUUCAAUUUAAAGUUGAAGCCUCCAUUAAACCAGACUUCUGAGCAGUCAAGUAUUCAAUGCAGGAAUCAGUCUUCUUCAAGCAAGAAGCUUUUUGAAUUACUUUGUUGUGCAGAAAGUGUAGAUGAUCAGCUGAACACUCUCUUGAGGGAAUUCCAGCUAACAGAGGAGAACAGCAAGCUCCGGUAUCUCACCUGCUCUCUUAUUGAAGAUGUAGCAGCUGCGUAUUUUCCGGGCUGCACCGUCAGACCCUUUGGCUCUUCAGUGAACAGUUUUGGAAAAUUAGGAUGUGAUUUGGACAUGUUUUUGGAUCUAGAUGAAAUCGAAAACUUUAGUACUCACAAGGCCUCAGGAAAUUUUCUGAUGGAAUUUCAAGUGAAAAAUGUUCCUUCGGAAAGAAUUGCAACACAGAAGAUCCUGUCUGUGAUAGGAGAAUGCCUUGACCACUUUGGCCCGGGCUGUGUGGGAGUACAGAAAAUACUAAAUGCUCGGUGUCCCCUUGUCAGGUUCUCACACCAGGCCUCUGGAUUUCAGUGUGACUUGACUACUAACAAUAGGAUUGCCUUGAAGAGUUCUGAACUCCUUUAUAUAUAUGGUGCCCUGGACUCCCGAGUGAGAGCCUUGGUGUUCAGUAUCCGAUGCUGGGCUCGAGCACAUUCGUUAACGAGUAGUAUUCCUGGUGCUUGGAUUACAAAUUUCUCCCUUACCGUGAUGGUCAUCUUUUUUCUCCAGAGGAGAUCACCCCCUAUUCUUCCAACACUAGACUACCUAAAAACCCUUGCAGAUGCAGAAGAUAAGUGUAUAAUAGAAGGCCACAACUGUACAUUUGUUCGCGACUUCAAUAGAAUUAAACCUUCAGGAAACACAGAAACACUAGAAUUACUACUGAAAGAAUUUUUUGAAUAUUUUGGAAAUUUCGCAUUCAAUAAAAAUUCCAUUAAUAUUCGACAGGGAAGGGAACAAAACAAACCUGAAUCUUCUCCACUGCACAUUCAGAAUCCUUUUGAAACUUCUCUCAACAUUAGCAAAAAUCCCCUUCAGGAGCCGUCGUGGGAGGGGAACACGCAAAACGCUGCCGCGAGGAAGAAACCGUUUCUCCCGGAGAGGCUCAGGAGAGGCCGGAUGUUCGUCGAGUAGAAUGGGGUAGGCUCGAAGGCACUGUGCUUCCUGUAGACGGAAGGAGGGGCCGUAGGGAUGGCCGUUCUGGGCGCAGGAGGCAGUGUAAACGCGAGUCAGGAAGGCGCAGCGCCCUGGGAGUGCGGGCCCUCCGGCCGGCGGGGGUGGGGUUUUUGCUCUGAGGCUCAGAGAGUCGAGGUUGAGCGAGGUGGUGAAGGACAGCGAGUUACGGAGGCUGAGUUUAUUUUCAGCGGUGAAGCAUUGAAGGUUUUUGUGUACGAGAGCAAUAAAAGUUAGAGCAGUGCUUUAGAUGAUCAAUCUGUUGAUACCGAGUAGUUAUCAAGCGCUGCUCCUUUCUUCUUAGCAAAUUUGAGUACCUUAGGUUCCAUCAUUGAGUCAGAUAAAAUUUGGCUGUUAAAUUUUCCACACAGGUCCAGAAGCUGACUCUCAUAUACCUCACAAGAGUAUUUAACAAGGAGGCAAAGUUUAAGUGGCUUAAAGCCAUCAUCAGGAAAUAUCAUCAGGUCAUGCUCUAAGGAAUGGUGGCACUAGAAGAUGGAAGAAGUCCACAUCCCUGAAUCAUCUGGAAAGCUGCCUACCAAACUCACUGGACAGUUACAUGAAUGAGAAGUUACAGAAGUUCAAGUGGGAUUGUGACUGAGCUAGAAGAGGAGUUCACAAAAAUCUGAGAUAAAGAAAGGACAGAUGUCGCACCCAGAAAAGCUAACCUAGCCAGGGGGUAACCGUGCCCUCUUGGCUCCCGAAGUGUGAGGAUGCAGCCUCUUCGUUCUGGAAGACGGUGGAAGCCGUGGCGCUUUGUGGCAAGCUGAGAAACAUGACAGCCGAGGACACGGAAUUAAUGGAAGUCAUAAAGUUUUACCUCCACGACAUGUGCUCUUGAGAUCAUGAAGCUGUAGUCAACGACAAGCAGCGACUGACUGCAAGCAUGGGACGCAGAACCACUGUCUAACCACAAGGAGAGCAUGCAACAAACCCAAAUAGAAGAACAUUCCUUAAAAUACUGGACCUGUACCCCUCAAAACUGUCAAGAUCACCAGAAACAAGGAGAGUCCGAUGAGUCAAGAGGAAUCUAAGGAGACGGGAUUAAGUGUGACAUGGAGUCCUGGAUGAGAUCCUGGAACAGAAAGAGAGUGGGCGUUAGGUAAAAACUAAAGACAUCUGAAUAAAAUCUGGACUUCAGUUAGUGAUGUAACGAUACUGGUUCAUUCAGUGUGACAAAUGUUAAUAAUUCUGUAAACCGGGUAUGGGCACGUGGGGCUGUGGACUAUCUUUGCAACUUUUCUGGAAAUUCAAAAUUGUUCUAAAAUGAAAAGCUUAUUUAAAAAAUAAAAAGCAAGAAUACUGCUUAUCAA